GACGCACGCUGGCGGCGUGCUUAACACAUGCAAGUCGAACGAGUGGCGAACGGGUGAGUAAUACGUGAGUAACCUGCCCUCUUGUUGGGAUAAGCCUUGGAAACGGGGUCUAAUACCGAAUACAGGGGGCUGGGGUAGCGGCCUAUCAGCUUGUUGGUGGGGUGAUGGCCUACCAAGGCGGUGACGGUUAGCCGGCCUGAGGGGGUGACCGGCCACAGUGUGCACGAGUUACGGCCCAGACGCAGACGGGAGGCGGCAGUGGGGGAUAUUGCACACUGGGCGGAAGCCUGAUGCCGCACCGCCGGGUGAGGGAUGCAGGCUUUCGCGGUGUGAACCUCGUUCGCGAUCGAACGGGUAGGCGGAGAAGAAGCGCCGGCUAACUACGUGCCAGCAGCCGCGGUAAUAC
rnacentral:rRNA from 1 species